GGCAGAAGGAAAAAUACGAGGU
rnacentral:siRNA from 1 species